ensembl:lncRNA
GAGGAGGUAAUUUCAGGGCCAUAAAAACACACCUUCACAACAUGAUGAUUAAAACAGGCAAUUAUGGUCUCCUUAAGAAACCAGCACAGAAAAACCCAUCAGCGAUACUUUGACCUUUAUUAUAGCGAAAGAUGAUGACAUGAGACAUUACAAUAACCCAUCACCGAACAGUCAUUCAGGUAGGUAAACAGUCAUUCAGGUAUGUAAACAGUCAUUCAGGUAGGUAAACAGUCAUUCAGGUAGGUAAACAGUCAUUCAGGUACGUAAACAGUCAUUCAGGUACGUAAACAGUCAUUCAGGUGGGUAAACAUUCAUUCAGGGACAUAAACAGUCAUUCAGGUAUGUAAGAUGGACUAUAGCCUUCUAAACUUUAGCUACAGUAUUGUGUCCAAUAAUAAACAAACAAGAUUCAAUGACUUCUCAAGC